rnacentral:rRNA from 1 species
AUUGAACGCUGGCGGCAGGCCUAACACAUGCAAGUCGAACGGAAACAGGAAGAAGCUUGCUUCUUUGCUGACGAGUGGCGGACGGGUGAGUAAUGUCUGGGAAACUGCCUGAUGGAGGGGGAUAACUACUGGAAACGGUAGCUAAUACCGCAUAACGUCGCAAGACCAAAAAGCGGGACCUUCGGGCCUCUUGCCAUCGGAUGUGCCCAGAUGGGAUUAGCUAGUAGGUGGGGUAACGGCUCACCUAGGCGACGAUCCCUAGCUGGUCUGAGAGGAUGACCAGCCACCCUGGAACUGAGACACGGCCCAGAACCCGACGGGAGGCACCCGUGGGGAAUAUUGGAAAAUGGGCGCAAGCCUGAUGCAGCCAUGCCGCGUGUAUGAAGAAGGUCUUCGGGUUGUAAAGUACUUGCAGCGGGGGGGAAGGGAGAAAAGUUAAUACCUUUGCUCAUUGACGUUACCCGCAGAAGAAGCACCGGCUAACUACGUG